UGGGGAAUUUUGGACAAUGGGGGCAACCCUGAUCCAGCAAUGCCGCGUGAGUGAAGAAGGCCUUCGGGUUGUAAAGCUCUUUUGUCAGGGAAGAAACGGUAGUAGCGAAUAACUACUACUAAUGACGGUACCUGAAGAAUAAGCACCGGCUAACUACGUGCCAGCAGCCGCGGUAAUACGUAGGGUGCAAGCGUUAAUCGGAAUUACUGGGCGUAAAGCGUGCGCAGGCGGUUGUGUAAGUCAGAUGUGAAAUCCCCGGGCUCAACCUGGUAAUUGCAUUUGAGACUGCACGGCUAGAGUGUGUCAGAGGGGGGUAGAAUUCCACGUGUAGCAGUGAAAUGCGUAGAUAUGUGGAGGAAUACCGAUGGCGAAGGCAGCCCCCUGGGAUAACACUGACGCUCAUGCACGAAAGCGUGGGGAGCAAACAGGAUUAGAUACCCAAGUAGUCCCUGAGCGGGCUGGCAAGGCGCAU
rnacentral:rRNA from 1 species